CUACGGGUGGCUCCAGUAAGGAAUAUUGCGCAAUGGAGGAAACUCUGACGCAGCCAUGCCGCGUGCAGGAAGAAGGCCUUAUGGGUCGUAAACUGCUUUUAUUUAGGAAUAAACCCCCGAACGUGUUCGGGGCUGAAGGUACUAAACGAAUAAGCACCGGCUAACUCCGUGCCAGCAGCCGCGGUAAUACGGAGGGUGCUAGCGUUAUCCGGAUUUAUUGGGUUUAAAGGGUGCGCAGGCGGGCUAUUAAGUCAGUGGUGAAAUCCCGGGGCUCAACUCCGGAACUGCCAUUGAUACUGAUAGUCUUGAGUUUGGUUGAAGUGGGCGGAAUGUAGCAUGUAGCGGUGAAAUGCAUAGAUAUGCUACAGAACACCAAUCGCGAAGGCAGCUCACUAAGCCAAAACUGACGCUCAUGCACGAAAGCGUGGGGAUCAAACAGGAUUAGAUACCCGUGUAGUC
rnacentral:rRNA from 1 species